rnacentral:rRNA from 1 species
CAAUAGCGUAUAUUAAAGUUGUUGCGGUUAAAAAGCUCGUAGUUGGAUUUCUGUUGGGAACGACCGGUCCGCCCAUUGGGUGUGUAUCUGGCUUGUUCUCGGCAUCUUCUUGGUGAACGUUGCUGCACUUGACUGUGUGGAGCGCUACCCAGGACUUUUACUUUGAGGAAAUUAGAGUGUCUCAAGCAGGCAUAUGCCUUGAAUACAUUAGCAUGGAAUAAUAAGAUAGGACCUCGGUUCUAUUUUGUUGGUUUCUAGAGCUGAGGUAAUGAUUAAUAGGGAUAGUUGGGGGCAUUCGUAUUUAACUGUCAGAGGUGAAAUUCUUGGAUUUGUUAAAGACGGCCUACUGCGAAAGCAUUUGCCAAGGAUGUUUUCAUUGA